CUGAUCCACGAGGCAGCAGCUUUGAGGAGUUACAUAACUGCAGGUGGUGGCAGAGAUGAGGCUCCUCUGCCGCCCAACUCCAACAAGCUAACAGCACAGAGCUGCUCAAGUCUUGGAGAAACAGCGGAGACAACUUCAUCUUCAUAGGGUGCAGGUUCUAAAAUAAUUCAGUUUCUGGCACAGCCACUUGGGACAAGACAGCAAAAAUACUAAAAUUAGCAUGGAAACAAAUGGACAAAAGGAGCUGCUCUCCUGUCAUAUCCAGCACUCAGCAGCAUGCCAACUCGGCUGAGCCUCCGCAUGCUCGCAGGCCAAGUCAAGGAAGCUUGCACAUCACGCAGCUGAGAGGCCCGUGCACGUGCGAAUUGUUAUACCAAACUCCCUCUCCUCCCCACCAAGGCACGUUGAAGCUUUAGCAGCUCAUGAGCGGCUGGCAGACCACAAAUUCAGAAACACUCGUCUCGUCCUCUCCUCCUAACAGCACCUGGAUCCAAGAUUGAAAAGUUUGAGGUGGAGAUGCGGAUCAGCCAGGAGGAAGAUUUUUCCAAAGUGCUAAAGAAAGAAAUAAUGAAGUGAACUGAGGAUUUAAAGCCUCAUGUGCUUUGAAAGAACCCUGUGUUUCGUUUUGACCAGAGAAAUUCCAUUCAACUACCAGAUAUAUG